AUGGCUGCGGCUAUGCGCCGUCUGAUUCCUUCACGCCUCGCCGCAUUGAGCAGAGCCACCGCGGGGCGUCUGCGAAGGAAGGCUUCCCUAGGCGGCGGAGUCCUGCGGCUUGGACCUGUGGGGAAAGCGGAUCCAUGGAGGAGCAUUUCCACUACGCCAGAUUGGAACAGGUACAAGGGGCCGCCAAAGCCGAGCUUCUCAUGGAAACUGCAAGAUCUGCUCAACGAUGAUUUCUUCAAGAACGAGGUGAAGGUGAUACCAACAACUUUCACUUCGGUAGAGGGGUACAUGGGCUCAUUCAUGGCUCCACUAUUGGAAGAAGCUCGGGCGGAUCUCUGCUCCGCAUUGCACGGCAUCCGGCACGCGCCGGUGGCCCAAGUGAUCUGGAUCCAACAGGAACGCACUUCAGAAUUCUGUAUCUCGUUCAAGGAACCUCGGCCAGCUGGUAGUUACGCCCCGAAAGUCGAGGAUAUAUUGGUGCUCACAAGUCGGAAACCGACCCGCCACAUAGAUUUGGACCCAUUUGUCAUAGCUGUAGUGCCUCCAUCCGAAGAUAGUAAAAGUGAAAGCAAGGAUGACGAAGGCACCACCACCGGCUAUUCUGAAGAUAUGGACAAUACUGUCACCUCUUCACAAGACAGUGCCGUGCCAUUUCUUCUCAAGAAAAAUGCCACAGCAGUUGAUGUAGAGGCAUGGGCUCACCCCCUUUUCGAAAAAGAAAAGGAAAAUGCACCAACACCUCCCCCCCAAGUGGUAGACACUGGCACAACAAUAUUAAUAAGGCUGCUGUCGGGUAAACUACCUGUCAAACGACAAGGUCAAAAAGAAGUGAUCGCAUUGCCUCUUUUUGCGGUCUUUCUUAUCAAUAUGAAGACCAACAAUCAUAUACAUGAUGCACUGGAACUGAAAGCCGGCAUCCUUAGCCGUUGGGGCAGUAGCCUCGUAGAGAGGAUUGCAGAGUAUGCUCCAACUGCCGGCCAGGAUCGCAAUUCAUUGUUGCCAGAGGUACCUUCAGGGUUAGCGUCAGAUAAGGCGCUGGAUGGCCUUGAAAAAUUCAAGCUCAACACCUCACAGCAGAAGGCGGUACUUGAUUGUGUUUCAGCAAUGGAUCAAGCUAGGUGCUGGGUGCGUCUUAUUUGGGGACCACCUGGGACAGGGAAAACCAAGGCCAUCAUAUCUCUCUUGUGGUCAAUGCUGAUGAAAAACCGCAGGACACUAGCUUGCGCUCCGACCAACACGGCGGUUGUGGAGGUUGCCUCCCGUGUCCUCGGUCUUCUCAAGGAUGAGUCAUAUGGCGGCGGUGGCAAACACUUCUCGCUGGGCAAUGUCGUGUUGUUUGGCAACGAAGAUCGGAUGAACGUGGAUGAAAAGCUCGCAAACAUCUUCUUGGAUCGGCGUGUGUACCGACUUGUGAAUGUGGCGGCACGCUGGAGGCACUAUGUGAACCGCAUGCUAGAACUUCUUGCCAAGCCAUUGGCCAUGCACUCUUCGUAUCUUAAGGAUGUUCGACCGGAGCGUACGGGUGAUAUUUUGCGGCUGCAAGGGGUGGGGGAUGCUGAACUAGAGAGGAGGAGGAAGUUGACAUUCAAGGAAUUCUUCAUAGAAAAUUACGAAUGUCACGAGGAAGCACUGCGCCGCUGCUUCGAGACUAUCCGCAAUGAUCUGCCCUUACCCGCUAGGAGAUUUGAUUACCUGGAUGAGACCCUGCGCUCGCUCGAAGCUUUCGGGAAACUUCUCCGGUCCGAGCCGGAGCGCCCGCUGGGGAAACUCUUCCUCAAAAACGGGGGGUGGCCAGAGUUCCAAGAAGCAAGAGCAUUGUGUCUUAACAAGCUAAAACACUUGCCCGAUUGGUUUGAUUUGCUUCCAAGCGAUUCAAGCAAAAUCGAAGACUACAUACUGAACAACGCCACGAUCAUACUUUGCACUGCUGCUAGCUCAUUCAAUCUGCGCCGCGUCCGUGAUUUCCAGCGGUUUGAGCUCCUUGUUAUCGACGAGGCGGCGCAGCUCAAGGAGUGCGAGUCACUGAUACCUCUACAGCUUGGUAUCCACCGUGCUGUUCUUAUCGGUGAUGAAUGCCAGCUACCAGCGCUUGUCAAAAGCAAGCUCAGCGUUGAGGCCGGCUUUGGAAGAAGUCUGUUUGAGAGGCUUUGCUUGCUAGGACACCCGAAGCACCUCCUCGAUGUGCAGUACAGGAUGCACCCGGAAAUAAGCAAGUUCCCCAUCUCGAGUUUUUACUGUAGGAAGGUAACAGAUGGCCCCAACGUCCUUCACAGAGACUACGAGAGGAAGCUCCUGGAUGGCCCAAUGUAUGGCACCUACUCCUUCAUCAACAUCCAAGGUGGGAUCGAAAGCUCGGGCAUGCAUGGCACAAGCCUAAGCAAUGCUGCUGAGGUCGCUGCGGUGACCCGGAUUGUGCAGAGAUUGUCCCAAGUUGACACAAAAAGCAAGCUCAGCGUGGGCGUGGUAUCACCGUACAAGGCCCAAGUCCGCGCCAUCCAGGAGAGCCUUGCUUUGGAGCACGACAAGUACGGCGGUUUAUCCGUAAAGAUCCGAACCGUGGACGGGUUCCAGGGUGCCGAGGAGGAUGUCGUCAUCUUCUCCGCUGUGCGGGCCAAUACCCAUGGAUCGGUCGGGUUCCUCUCCGAUCAGAGGCGUACCAAUGUGGCGCAAACACGAGCCAAGCAUUGCUUCUGGAUUCUUGGCGACGCUGCUACGUUGUCGAGCAGCAGGACAAUCUGGCAGAAGAUAGUGGCCGAUGCAAAGGAAAGAGGAUGCUUCUAUGAUGGCAACGACGACAACGACCUCUUGGCUGUGGUGAGCGUCGCAAUCAAGCAAGAUGAAGUCACCCGUCUGCUCAAGAUGGUGGAUGCUCGUCUUGGUAUAUGCAGCUCGUGA
rnacentral:rRNA from 1 species